AUUGAACGCUGGCGGCAUGCCUUACACAUGCAAGUCGAACGGCAGCACGGGUGCUUGCACCUGGUGGCGAGUGGCGAACGGGUGAGUAAUACAUCGGAACAUGUCCUGUAGUGGGGGAUAGCCCGGCGAAAGCCGGAUUAAUACCGCAUACGAUCUACGGAUGAAAGCGGGGGACCUUCGGGCCUCGCGCUAUAGGGUUGGCCGAUGGCUGAUUAGCUAGUUGGUGGGGUAAAGGCCUACCAAGGCGACGAUCAGUAGCUGGUCUGAGAGGACGACCAGCCACACUGGGACUGAGACACGGCCCAGACUCCUACGGGAGGCAGCAGUGGGGAAUUUUGGACAAUGGGCGAAAGCCUGAUCCAGCAAUGCCGCGUGUGUGAAGAAGGCCUGCGGGUUGUAAAGCACUUUUGUCCGGAAAGAAAUCCUUGGCCCUAAUACGGUCGGGGGAUGACGGUACCGGAAGAAUAAGCACCGGCUAACUACGU
rnacentral:rRNA from 1 species